CAAUAGCGUAUAUCAAAGCUGUUGCGGUUAAAAAGCUCGUAGUUGGAUUUCUGUCAAGGACAACUGGUCCGCCCUCCGGGUGAGCACAUAGUUUGGUCUUGGCAUCUUGCUGGAAACUGUUGCUGCGCUUGGUUGUGUGGUGCAGCUUUCAGCACUUUCACUUUGAGGAAAUUGGAGUGUUUCAAGCAGGCACAUGCCUUUGGACACAGUAGCAUGGAAUAAUUAGAUUGGGCUUUUGCUCCAACUUGUUGGUUCCUGGAGCUGAGGUGAGAAUCAAUGGGGAUUGUUGGGGGCAUCCGAAUUUAGCCGUCAGAGGUGAAAUUCUUGGAUCUGCUAAAGACGGACAACUGCGAAANCGNNNGCCCAGGAUGUUUUCAUNGA
rnacentral:rRNA from 1 species